rnacentral:rRNA from 1 species
GACGAACCGUGCGAACGUUAUUCGGAAUCACUGGGCUUAAAGCGCGUGUAGGCGGGCCGGCACGUCGGUCGUUGAAAUCCCCCGGCUCAACCGGGGAAGCGGCGCCGAUACGACCGGCCUCGAGGGACGUAGGGGGGGCUGGAACUUCCGGUGGAGCGGUGAAAUGCGUUGAGAUCGGAAGGAACGCCCGUGGCGAAAGCGAGCCCCUGGACGUCUACUGACGCUGAGACGCGAAAGCCAGGGGAGCGAACGGGG